AAGUUAUUGAGCAUACAAAACCAUCAGGAUGGUUUAAAUGCAUUUGGGUUUAAAUGGAGCAUUUAGCAAGCAAAACACAACAAAAUGACAACAAAUGGCCAAGGCAAGGCAAGCGCCGCAGUGCUGGAAGGCAGAAGCUUCACCUUCAGGUGGUGCUACAGUGCUACGGAUUUUAAUGGAACCUACACAAGCAAGAGAGCACUGCGGUGCUAUAGCAUGGUGCUCCUAUCAGGGGCAUUAGUGCCACGACGCUACCUUACAGUGUUGCAUCGCCAGCGUGUUUUUUAUAUAAGCUUCCUUAAUUUUUAGGGUUUAUGAGGGGGAGUGAAGAGAGGAGAAUUUUG
rnacentral:misc_RNA from 1 species